rnacentral:rRNA from 1 species
AUGGUUUUUAAAGCUCUUCAUAAAAAUAAAAUUGCCCGUUCCAACUUCAUGGAAAUCAUGUCCAUUGCCAUUGAGGGCAAGAAGUACAUUAAGGAGUUGGAAUCUCAUCUCGAGGAGCAUGAGGUCACCAUUGAGAAAAUGGAAGGUCAUGAGCGUGAUUAUGCUAAUGAGAUCGUGGACCUCUCUCAAGCUCUUGAACUUGAACAAACCACCAAGGAAUCUCUUGUGGAGACUUUUGCUCUAGAAUUAUCUAGAGUGAGGGAAUCUCGUGAUAGAGCUCUUGAGGUGGCCAAUGAUUUUGAAACUAAAAAUGAGGAGCUUGAAGUUGCGCAUGCUAAACUCCUCGAGGACUUUGAGCACCUUGAAAAUGGCUCAAGGGUCAUUAAGAGUGAGCUCAUCAAACUCACCAAGUCUCAUGCUCAACUUAAAGAUUCAUAUUCAAAAGAGCUUGCCAAGUUGUCUUCUCCUCUUGUUGCUAAUGAUGAUGCUUGUGCUACUAACUCUACAUAUUGA